UUCAUAGUGUAGCAGUUAGCACAUCUGCUUUACAUGCAGAAGGUCCUGAGUUUGUGCCUUAGUGGA
rnacentral:tRNA from 1 species